rnacentral:rRNA from 1 species
UACGAAGGGGGGCUAGCGUUGUUCGGAAUCACUGGGCGUAAAGCGCACGUAGGCGGAUUUUUAAGUCAGGGGUGAAAUCCCGGGGCUCAACCUCGGAACUGCCUUUGAUACUGGAGAUCUUGAGUCCGGAAGAGGUAAGUGGAACUGCGAGUGUAGAGGUGAAAUUCGUAGAUAUUCGCAAGAACACCAGUGGCGAAGGCGGCUUACUGGUCCGGAACUGACGCUGAGGUGUGAAAGCGUGGGGAGCAAACAGG